CGGACCGGCGCACGGGUGAGUAACGCGUAUGCAACUUACCUAUCAGAGGGGGAGUAACCGGCGAAAGUCGGACUAAUACCGCAUAAAGCAGGGACCCCGCAUGGGAAUAUUUGCUAAAGAUUCAUCGCUGAUAGAUAGGCAUGCGUUCCAUUAGGCAGUUGGCGGGGUAACGGCCCACCAAACCGACGAUGGAUAGGGGUUCUGAGAGGAAGGUCCCCCACAUUGGUACUGAGACACGGACCAA
rnacentral:rRNA from 1 species